rnacentral:lncRNA from 1 species
CAGAUCCUAGAAGUGAAAACCUUCCAGAGAAGAAGCAGGCAGCAAAUUGUUCACCGGUUAGCUGUCCGUGGAGCAUCUAGUCCCACAGCUGGGCAGCUGGGACACACUCACUAUUCACAGCCUCCCUAGAUGUGGCCAAGAGAGGCUCUGAUCUCCAGCUGUUCCUAUAUGUCCAGUAUCCAAAACCUACUUUCUAUGAGAAAGAAAUGAACGAUGCUGCAGGUUUUACACAAAUGGGGCUCAAGGGGUACAAAGAUGUGGUAAGAAACAUUUGACUGGAUCAAAGCAUUUGUGAGUACUUUGCAAGAGGAAAGCCAGGAGAAUGUUUCCAACCUGGUGAUUGACAUUACUGAGUGCAAGCAGAUGGGUUACCUGUACAAGUGCAUCAAUGUGGCAUUGUAAAUCAAGGGCAAAAAUUAACUCUCUUGCAGUCACCAGUGUGAGAAACUUGGUCUGCCAUUCAGUGAUGUGUUGGACAUUUAGAAAUAACCAAUAGGGAGGCAGUAAGUAACUGGCCCUGUUAUCAAAACCAGGGGCUGCCGCACUUGCUGAGCAGGGACUCCCCUGACUGUGAAAUGGUCAGUGCCAGGUUUUCAAAAAGAAAUAUCCUC